GAGUUUGAUCGUGGCUCAGAUUGAACGCUGGCGGCAUGCCUUACACAUGCAAGUCGAACGGCAGCAUGAUCUAGCUUGCUAGAUUGAUGGCGAGUGGCGAACGGGUGAGUAAUACAUCGGAACGUGCCCUGUAGUGGGGGAUAACUAGUCGAAAGAUUAGCUAAUACCGCAUACGACCUGAGGGUGAAAGUGGGGGACCGCAAGGCCUCAUGCUAUAGGAGCGGCCGAUGUCUGAUUAGCUAGUUGUGGGGUAAAGGCCCACCAAGGCGACGAUCAGUAGCUGGUCUGAGAGGACGAUCAGCCACACUGGGACUGAGACACGGCCCAGAACUCCUACGGGAGGCAGCAGUGGGGAAUUUGGACAAUGGGCGAAAGCCUGAUCCAGCAAUGCCGCGUGUGUGAGAAA
rnacentral:rRNA from 1 species